AGGUUCAAAUUAUUAUGGGUUUAUGGGGAAUGCCUUGGCGUCAAAAGCCGAAGAAGGGCGUAGCAAGUCUGCGAUAAGCCUCGGUUUGCUGACUAGCAAGCUUAGCCGGGGAUACCCGAAUAGGAAAACCUGAUCAUAUGAUCAGCCUUUUUAUAAGGUAGGUAAGCAGGAGAACUGAAACAUCUAAGUAUCCUGAGGAAAAUAAAUCAAACGAGAUUCCCUAAGUAGCGGCGAGCGAAAUGGGAUCAGCCUAAACCGUGUGGGAUUUAUCCUGUGCGGGGUUGUAGGGCACUUUAUAUAAGAGUUACAAAAAGUCAUUUUAGUAGAAUAGAUUGGAAAAUCUAACCAUAGAGGGUGAAAGUCCCGUAAACGAAAAGAUGAUUUCUCUUAAAGUGUUCCUGAGUACGACGGGACACGUGAAAUCUUGUCGGAAUCCGGGGGGACCACCCUCCAAGGCUAAAUACUUUUGACGACCGAUAGUGAACUAGUACCGUGAGGGAAAGGUGAAAAGAACCCCGAGAGGGGAGUGAAAUAGAACUGAAACCAUAAACCUACAAACCGUGGGAGCUUGUAUUUAUACGAGUGACCGCGUGCCUAUUGAAGAAUGAGCCAACGAGU
rnacentral:rRNA from 1 species